AGUGGUGACGUUUUUGUAAUAUUAUGAAGAGAAAUCAUAAAUAAGAUAAAAUAUUCCUGAAAAUAAUACACGAACGUAUUGGUUUUCCAUGAGAUUUGUAAAAACAGAGGUUCCUGUUCAGACCUGUAAUGAUGAAGAUCGCGACGCUUCGGCCCAACGAGGCAUUGAUACCUCACCACCCUUCUUCUUUUGGUAGCAGAUGGCCAAACCUAUAACAGGUUCUGUAAUCGAUACACAGGUGAUAACAAAACCAUGGUUCAGUAAUAAUUCAUCGUGCUGUCGUGUCUGUUCGGAUGAUUUUAAAAAUUCGGCCUAAAAUUUGGGGUGUGAAUUUAGUUGAUCAUCGCUUCCGAAGUCAUUCCCCCGACAUGAGUCGUCGUGUGCGCUGCUCGGUAAAGGAUUCUAUGUGCCUAAUUUUAGUGAGUUUCUCCCUAGUACAAGCACAGCAACAUGUCGAAAUUGAUUUUGCAGCUUCGCGCCACAAAGAGUAUCUCUUUAUAAGCACCUUCAAUCUAUCCUGGCACAAAGCGUUCGAGUACUGCCGUGGUCAGGGCAUGUUCCUGGUGUCCAUACAAAACCGGGAAGAGCUUGAAGCGGUGAAAGAUACGAUCAAUAUGAGUGGAUUUUGGAAAAAGAAUCACUAUCUGCACAUGUGGACGUCAUUGAACGACAUCGGUGAAGAGGGCCAAUAUUAUUGGGCCUCCACAGGGACGCGCACUCAGCUCGAUUUGUGGAGGGACACCGAUCCGAACAAUAGCCAGCAUGAUACCUGCACCGAUGAGGAUUGUGUUGCGUUGGUCCAUUUUCGGGAUCUUACCGUUACGUACGGAUUGGACGAUCGGGCAUGUUCGAGCGAGUUCAUGUUUAUGUGCGAAACGUGAGCUUAAAAGUGUUACAAUUCAUUGUGAUGUUAUGAGCCAGCCGGUUUAAUGUUCUAUCAGUGUGUGAAUUCAAUUUAAGAAGAUGCUCUAGUCGAUCAUCAACCCAUUCGCAUCCGAUUAUAGAAGGUCAACAGUUCUGCGAUCACUUCACAUUGAUGUUGGUGUGUCUGUGUGUGCGCUCUU